CCUACGGGAGGCAGCAGUGGGGAAUAUUGGACAAUGGGGGAAACCCUGAUCCAGCGACGCCGCGUGAGUGAAGAAGUAUUUCGGUACGUAAAGCUCUAUCAGCAGGAAAGAAAAUGACGGUACCUGACUAAGAAGCCCCGGCUGACUACGUGCCAGCAGCCGCGGUAAUACGUAGGGGGCAAGCGUUAUCCGGAUUUACUGGGUGUAAAGGGAGCGUAGACGGCAGAGCAAGUCUGGAGUGAAAUGCCGGGGCUCAACCCCGGCACUGCUCUGGAAACUGUGAAGCUGGAGUGCAGGAGAGGUAAGCGGAAUUCCUGGUGUAGCGGUGAAAUGCGUAGAUAUCAGGAGGAACACCGGCGGCGAAGGCGGCUUACUGGACUGUAACUGACGUUGAGGCUCGAAGGCGUGGGGAGCAAACAGGAUUAGAUACCCGUGUAGUC
rnacentral:rRNA from 1 species